UUCAAGAAUUGAAAUCUUAAAUAUGGUUAGGAGUAGAAGAUGACAAAGUGGGGAGAACCAAGACUUCGUAUUCUUAACUCGUAUGUAAUUAAUGUUAUAUUAAUGUAAUAUUAAUGAACGUUAUUCCAAGUCUUGAAAUGCUGAGUUGCUGUUGUAGUAGUAGGAGAUGUUUUCGUUGCAGUUGUUGUUGUAGUUUUUGAUGCUGUUGUCGUUUUGACAAAGCUUGUAUCAACUCCCUCUGUGUGUCGGUCUGGUCAAAAGUUUGCACACGCUUUUCUUCCAUUUCCCAUUCUCGGAUCAAGUUAAAACUUUGCACAAUAAUUCAUUCAAUAUAUUGUUGGGGAUUAAUUAUUUGUUUGAUUUCGAAAUAAGGGAAAUAAAUGCCAUUUAAUGAGAGAUGUGAAUAUAAAAAUAUAUGUAUGGAUUUAUGAAUUUAGUCCCCUUACCACAUUUUGACACGUUAUGUCCUCCACUUCCCAUUCUCAGAUCAAGUUGAAAUUUUGCGAUAACAUUACACGAAUCAAUACAAAAUUAACCGAAUAGUUAACCAUUAGUAUUAAUUAAUUCAUUUAUUUUGUUUUAUAAAGCAGAAAGGAAGCUAAACCCUGUAAUUUUCAGACAAAUGGUAGUAAUUAACGGCUUAUUCCCCUUAGAUGAGCUUUUGGUUACAUUUUUGUGUUCAAAUGCUUUUUAACAUUAAAAUCUGACACGCUUUAAAAUGAAAGUAAAAAUAUUUUUUUGAUAAUAUACAUUAGCACAAUCGUGUCCCUUUCCUUUUCGCCCCAAACUAAAAAAUUUAUACUGAUGUCUCUUUUAGUAUUCAUUUUUGCUUGUUACUUUACUUAUGUUAAACUUGAGGGUCAAUUUUGAAUUGAAACAUGCAACUGUAUAUUACCAUUUUUAAAUUACUAAAACA